AGUAACGGCGAGUGAACGGAGAUAGCCCAACACCGAAGUCUAUUCAUGUUUUUGAACAGGACAAUGUGGUGUUAAGGUCGCAGUCUGAGCAUGCUUUACCACUCGAAGUCCAAGUCAGAUUUUGGCUUUGUAUUUGUUCUAUAGAGGGUGAAAGGCCCGUCCGAGUGGUUAAUACUAUUCAGCGUGUUCUAGAUGCUGCGGCUCUCGAGUCGGAUUGCUUGAGAAUGCAGUCCAAAGUGGGUGGUAAACUCCAUCCAAGGCUAAAUACUGGCACGAGUCCGAUAGUAGACAAGUACCGUGAGGGAAAGUUGAAAAGUACUCUGAAGAGAGAGUAAAUAGUACGUGAAGCUGCCUGCAAGGAAGCUGGUGGAGUCAAGCUUUUUGGUUCUUGAAUUGGCAUGGAGAUUAUACUCUUUGAUAACGGAUCAUGAUGUUGUCAGCCUGUAAAUGACUGAGCAGUUCGCUGUUUCAGGUGUUCCGGGUUGUGCACUUGUACUACAUUUUUCUGCAUGGUCCAAUCUCUUGUGCUAUUUCUUGAACUGUAUAUCAUGGUCAAUGCGUGUGUGAUAUAUUAUAUUCUAACCGUGUGCAAGUCGGCGUCAGCCUGCUUUACGCGGAAUGGCAGGUGCCAGUUAGCUAGUUUCGGCCGGCUUUUUGGUUAAAUUUGCUGAAUGUAAUUGUAUUAUUGCAUGAAUUGUGCUCAUUGACAAUGGCCACCAGUUUGGUUGCCAUUGCGAGAGCCAUGAUAUUGAAGUAGACGUUCCAUCCGACCCGUCUUGAAACACGGACCAAGGAGUUUAACAUUUACACGAGUCAAUGGAAUUCUUACGAAACCCAAUGGCGCAAUGAAAGUGAACGGUUGCUUCUCGCAAUCAAAGGUAUGAUCAUGGCUCGUUUUAAUUAAAAUGGUCAUGCGCAAUACCGGCCCGUCUUAAAAUGUAGUUGAGUUGGCGAAAGUCGGCUUACAUCAUUCAGGCGGAGCAAGAGUGUAAAUGUUGAGACCCGAAAGAUGGUGAACUAUGCUUGCGUAGAUCGAAGCCAGAGGAAACUCUGGUGGAGGAUCGUAGCGGUUUUGACGUGCAAAUCGAUUGUCAAACGUGAGCAUAGGGGCGAAAGACUAAUCGAACCAUCUAGUAGCUGGUUCCCUCCGAAGUUUCCCUCAGGAUAGCUGGCACACAAUUUAUACAGUUUCAUCCGAUAAAGCGAAUGAUUAGAGGUAUUGGGGACUAAUUGUCCUCAACCUAUUCUCAAACUAUUAAUGGGUACGAUGCAUGACUCGCUUAAUUGGAGUUGUGCAUUGAAUGUGUGUGCCGAGUGGGCCAUUUUUGGUAAGCAGAACUGGCGCUGUGGGAUGCUCCGAACGUUCAGAUAAGGUGCCUAAUGCAAACGCUCAUGAGACACCAAAAAAGGUGUUAAUGCAUAUAGACAGCAGGACGGGGCCNGAAAGUUGGAAU
rnacentral:rRNA from 1 species